rnacentral:rRNA from 1 species
AACGUAGGGGGCGAGCGUUGUCCGGAAUUACUGGGCGUAAAGGGCGUGUAGGUGGCCCGAGAAGUCGAAAGUGAAACCCCGGGGCUCAACCCCGGGCCUGCUUUUGAAACCAACGGGCUUGAGGACAGGAGAGGGAAGCGGAAUUCCCAGUGUAGCGGUGAAAUGCGUAGAUAUUGGGAGGAACACCAGUGGCGAAAGCGGCUUUCUGGCCUGUAACUGACACUGAGGCGCGAAAGCGUGGGGAGCGAACAGG